rnacentral:lncRNA from 1 species
AAGACUUUCAGCAAAAGAGUCCCUAUAGAAGAGUUCAGUGUAGAUUAACUUCCUCUUUUCGUGUUGCCCUGUUCUACUUGGCCACUGGCUAAAAAAUCAGCACUCCUAAGCUAGACACCCCCUUACUAGUUUUUCACAAAAUAUGUGAACAAGGCCUCUGGCCUUGAGCUGGGGCUUCACAGAGAUGGCUACAUUUCUAAGAUAAAGAAGUUACCAACUGGGCUCCAUGGUAACAGCUGGCAGGGGGAGAAAAGAAAGGAAAAAAAAAAGCUCUCCCCCUCCCAGAUGUCCUUAAAAAGUUAACUUGUCCAGAACAGAGGAAAAAAACAAACAAAAACUGCUUUUUAUAAACUUCUGCAGACUGUGAACUUCUGAGCCCCUUCCCUUACAUGUUGGGUACAAAAUUCUGAAACUACCUAAACUUGGGGUUCAGGGGAUUAAUUGAUUACAACAGAAGCAAUGCCCUCUGAAUCCGAUUGCAACCAAAUAGGACCGUUUCCCUGUCUUCGGUGCUAUCUUAGGUACCUUGCCUUGUCCGUCCCUACAACAGUAUAAUUCUAUAUACUUAAACAUUGUUUAUGUUUUCAUAAAAUGGUCAACAGAUGUAAUUAAUUAUAUAAUGGUGCAGAUGUUUCCCAGAGUGCUCUAUCAUGACGCAGGUUCAUUUGAAGAUCAAAUAGGGGGGCAUACAACCCGGUUCCGCUGGGAACCUGUAUCCCUCACUUUAGCCAUCCUAUUAGGAAUAGGAGUUGCUGCAGGGGUGGGCACAGGAACCACUGCCCUGGUCCAUGGGAUACAACAAAUGACCCAAUUGAAAAACAGCAAUAGACCAAAACUUAAAGAUAUUAGAAACCUCCAUCACAGCUUUGCAGGAAUUUUAACCUCUCUCUCUGAAGUUGUUUUACAGAACAGGCGAAGGUUGGACCUCUUCUUCAUGAGAGAAGAGGGCCUUUGUGCUGCAUUGAGGAAAAAUGUUGUUUUUAUGCUGACCAUAUUGGAGUUGUAAAAAAAAAUCUAUGAGUAAAUUAAAAAGACGCCUUGAAGAGCGUCAAUGAGAGAGAGAAACCCAAAAAGGGUGGUUUGAGUCUUAGUUCACACAGUCCCCCUGGUUAAUUACGCUUUUAUCAGCCCUGGCCGGUCCAUUAAUAAUCCUCAUAUUAUUGCUAACUGUAGGACCCUGUUUGCUCAACCGUGUAGUUUCCUUUCUCCAAGCUCAAAUUGAACAAGUUAAACUUAUGGUAAUCAGACAACAAUAUACCCCACUAGCAGACAUAGAAUGUGACACCCCCCAAUGAUCACUUUUAUGAUUAAAAGUAGCCAGAAGAAGAAGUGGGGAAUGAAAGGUUAAUAAAAUAGGUACUUGUCACUCUGUUUUUCUGUAUGCUUAACAAAACACUGUUGAAAUCUUGAGAACUUUUUGCUAAUCUUGUUCCCAGAAUGUGCUGUCCCCAACUGCCAAACUGCAGAAUGUACUCCCUCACUCAGUUGCAGGCAAACCGCCCACUCACCCUGACCCAUCAAUGAACUUCCCUCCCUGCCCUCUCCAAGGAAAGUAUAUAAGCUCUGCUUAAGCUGUUCUCAGGGCUCUUUGCUCUAUUCAAGUGAGCUCUGAGCCCCAGCAUGCUGGACCCCCAAUAAACCCUUUGCUGUUGCAUGAGACAGUCUCUUGGUGGUCUCUUCCUCCGACGCUCACCCGACCUUUACACUUCUAUUGUAAAUUAUUUAUGUAUCAUCACACACAUA